UCGAAGGUGUUGCUGAUGGGACUGUCUGGAUUCGGCCAACGCGGGGCGCGGUAGUGUUUCACCUCCAGAACGUAGUCGUCCUGUCAAGAUGGAGAAGGAAGAGAGCAGACGUCUGUCACAACACAUUGGUGUCGCUGGUCUGCCUGACUCUCUGCCCGACAGCCAUGAAAAGGGGGCGGGAGGUGUUUCUCAAAGUCAAGGAAGGAUCCUAAAAGGGCCGAAUUUCAAAGAUGCUACAUCAUCGACCCCCGCCCAUGGACUGUUUCAAUGUCAAGGACCCUUGUGAAUCUCACCAAGGACUGAGUCCUUCCUUCAGAGAAACUGAGAUGAGUUGGGGCACCUCCCCCUCCUCCCACCACUAUUCACAUGAUAACAUGUGACAUGAUCUAUACUUUUGCCUUUGUUAUUUCUCUGUUCAUGUUCUUUUUGGUACAUCUGGUAGUUUUAUUUUCACAGCUUUAUUUCUGUUAGGUUUAGUUGUUCUGGUGGUUUAAGUUAGAAGGGAGAGCCCAGAUCCUACAACCCUCCAUGGGUUGGUCUGGGUGUCUUCCCUUCCUUUUAUUCAUUCUAGCCGGCCCAUCAGUCUCUGUUAGUAGACUUCGUUUGGUUAUUUUGAUCUGUUUAGUGGUCACCCUUUUUUUAAAUGAGCUGAAUAAUAUUUUGUGCGACUCCUGGACUCUUCUUUUAAUAUGUUUCACUGAUGUUUGGUAAGGAGCUUUUUUGGGGUCCUAACACAUAUAUCAUUAAAAUAAAUAAGAAAAUAAAUGAACAGGGAAAAAAAUGAAUAAGAAAGUCACAGAAGUAUAGUAUGUCAAAAAAACAAAGUAUGGUAUGUCCAGAAAAGAAAAACCCCAGCAUAGUAUAGCAUGUCGAAAAAAGUGAAAAAAACCCCCGACAAAGUAUAGUAUGUCGAAAAAAGUCAUAGUAUAGCAUGUUGAUAAAAGCUAUAAAAACAUCAUAGUAUACUGUAGCAUGUUGAAAAAAGUGGAAAAAAAGUCAUAGUAUAGCAUGUCAGAAAAAAGUGAAAAAAAACAAAAGUCAUGAUAUAGCAUGUUCAAAAUGGGAAAAAACAACAUAGUAUAGUUUGUCAAAAAGUGAAAAAAAAAAAAAGACAAAGUAUGGCAUGUCGAAAAAAGCUAUAAAAAAAUCAUAGUAUAGUAUGUUGAAAAAAGUCAUAGUAUAGUAUGUUGAAAAAAGUGAAAAAAAGUCAUAGUAUAGUAUGUCAAAAAAUUGAAAAAAGUCAGUAUAGUACGUCAUAAAGUGGAAAAAAAACGACAAAGUUUAGCAUGUCGAAAAAGCUAUAAAAACAUAGUAUAGUAUGUUGAAAAAAGUGAAAAAAGUCAUAGUAUAGUAUGUCGAAAAAAGU